UGCAAGUCGAACGAAGUAGCAAUACUUAGUGGCAGACGGGUGAGUAACAUGUGGGUAUCUGCCCUUUGGCCUGGAAUAACGCGAGGAAACUUGUGCUAAUACCGGAUAAGUCUUUACAGAGAAAGCUUUAUGCACCAUUGGAUGAGCCCGCACUUGAUUAGUUUGUUGGUAGGGUAAUGGCCUACCAAGACUGUGAUCAAUAGCUGAUUUGAGAGGAUGAUCAGCCACAUUGGGACUGAGACACGGCCCAAACUCCUACGGGAGGCAGCAGUGGGGAAUCUUGCACAAUGGAGGAAACUCUGAUGCAGCGAUGCCGCGUGAGUGAAGAAGGCCUUUGGGUUGUAAAGCUCUUUCGUCGGGGAAGAAAAUGACUGUACCCGAAUAAGAAGGUCCGGCUAACUUCGUGCCAGCAGCCGCGGUAAUACGAAGGGACCUAGCGUAGUUCGGAAUUACUAGGCUUAAAGAGUUCGUAGGUGGUUGAAAAAGUUGGUGGUGAAAUCCCAGAGCUUAACUCUGGAACUGCCAUCAAAACUUUUCAGCUAGAGUUUGAUAGAGGAAAGCAGAAUUUCUAGUGUAGAGGUGAAAUUCGUAGAUAUUAGAAAGAAUACCAAUUGCGAAGGCAGCUUUCUGGAUCAUUACUGACACUGAGGAACGAAAGCAUGGGUAGCGAAGAGGAUUAGAUACCCUCGUAGUCCAUGCCGUAAACGAUGUGUGUUAGACGUUGGAAAUUUAUUUUCAGUGU
rnacentral:rRNA from 1 species